rnacentral:rRNA from 1 species
GACGAGGGGUGCUAGCGUUGUUCGGAAUUACUGGGCGUAAAGCGUAUGUAGGUGGCCUUGCAAGUCAGAUGUGAAAGCCCUGGGCUUAACCCAGGAAGUGCAUUUGAAACUGCAGGGCUUGAGUGUCGGAGAGGGUAGUGGAAUUCCUGGUGUAGAGGUGAAAUUCGUAGAUAUCAGGAGGAACAUCGGAGGCGAAGGCGGCUACCUGGCCGAACACUGACACUGAGAUACGAAAGCGUGGGGAGCAAACAGG